UGGAAAAUCUGGGCAGCAGCCCGAUUCUCGCCGGAAAUCGCCUUGAUUUUUCGUCCGGCCAUAUCUUCCUCCUCCGGCCACCGAUCCUCACCAAACUUCUUCCAUUGGCUUCGUAUGGUCCUUGCGCACCUGUCUGUGGCAACAUUUCACGGCGGCGCGGCCCGUAACUGCGGCGGCAAGAUUGGUCCGAUUUGAGCUCGAUUUUGAGUCAACGCCGAUAUCUUGAGUUUCCGGCCACUUUUCUUUGUGAUUCUUGGCUUGAUGAACUCGUCUUGAGUUUCUGAACCAGUCUCCAGAAGGAAUCGAAGCGAGUGGUGGACGUUUUCACGUUGAUCGGAGAUCGCGCCGGAUUCUGCAAAUUUUCCGACCACCGAAGCUUUCGAUCGGUAUAUCUCGAGCUACAGACCAUAUUUUUCUGUGAUUCUUGAACCAAUGAGUUCGUCUUGAGUUUCUUAACAACUCUCUAGAAGGAAUCGAAGCCUGAAAUUGAAGUUUUGACGUCGAAAUCAAGCCUUGCCGGAUUCUGCAAAUUUCGCCGGAUUCUGGAAAUUUUCCGGCCACCUCGACUGUUCUAGGUGAUCGAUGGAUUUAUUUGGCGGACGAUUCGUGAGAUUGUUAAUGGAGCUGUUAAGAAGACGCAGCUGGAUUAGAGCGGGUAAUCUUACAGGUCAGGAAAAUCAGGGCAGUGAUCGUGCGGGUUAGAGUAUUUGUUAUAGUUUUACAGCAAUUGUAAUAGUGAGGUGAGUUAAGCUCAUUUGAGCCUUACAAUUUGAUUUGGUGAGAGUGUCUGUAAUAAAUAACUUGAGGAUUUGGCUUAUUGUAUAUUGAGAGGUGUGAAGUGUGGUUGUUUGUGAGAAAAAAAUUCAGGACGUUAUUUGUUAUUGAUGUUAAUCAUGUUUCGGAACUUGAAUCAUUUAUUCAAAAUUCGGGGCGUGACAAUCCUAAUGCAAUUAGGAUGUUAAUUCCAACCCCUCUGCAAACGUUCAUCCUGCACUACUUUUUUUUAUGUAUUUUAUAACAGUAACAAGAAUACUACGUUUUGACU